rnacentral:rRNA from 1 species
AUUGAACGCUGGCGGCGUGCCUAACACAUGCAAGUCGUACGAGAAACACGUCCUUCGGGAUGUGGAGUAAAGUGGCGCACGGGUGAGUAACACGUGGGUAACCUGCCCUCGGGUUCGGGAUAACUGGCCGAAAGGCCCGCUAAUACCGGAUAAGACCACAUAAGUUUCGACGCAAGCGGUCAAAGUCGGCCUCUCGAUGAAGCCGGCGCCUAAGGAUGGGCCCGCGGACCAUUAGCUUGUUGGUAGGGUAACGGCCUACCAAGGCUGAGAUGGUUAGCUGGUCUGAGAGGAUGAUCAGCCACACUGGAACUGAGACACGGUCCAGACUCCUACGGGAGGCAGCAGUGAGGAAUAUUGCGCAAUGGGGGAAACCCUGACGCAGCGACGCCGCGUGGGUGAAGAAGGCCUUCGGGUUGUAAACUGCUUUUGUACGGAGCGAAAAGGUUCUCUCUAAUACAGAGGGCUCAUGACGGUACCGUAAGAAUAAGCACCGGCUAACUACGUGCCAGCCGCCGCGGUAAGAC